rnacentral:rRNA from 1 species
UACCGGUGACGAGUCGCGUCGUGGUGGGGCAGGAGGGAGCAGUCGGCGGCGGCUAGAAGAGCGACCCCACCUCGUCAUCCCCUAGGGCGGUCUAGGCUGGACGUCCGUUUCCCGCUGCCGCCCCCGCGAACUAAGCUAGGACGCGGUGUCCAGGCACGUCCUCUCUCUCCUCCCUCUUUCUCUCUCGUUUCUCCUCACCGACUACUGCUCUCCUCCCUCUUUCUCUCUCCUUUAUCCUCUCCCUCCGAGCCGUCGCCUGCCCUGUCCCAGCGGCCGGCCACAGCCGGACGCGGCCGCUCAAGCGAGCGGGUCGACGGUUUAUCCCUUUCCGCUGCCCUGGCCGUAAGCCCCGCCGCCGCCGCCGCCCUGACGUCCUUGACCGGCUCCACUAGGAGCGGUUUGUUCGCCCGCCGUCGUUCCACGAGGGGUGCCACUCCUUGCCUGCGCGAGUUGCGGAAGGAAGGGUUGGUCUAUACUCUUUCUUCUUUAUCCUGGUUCUUUUAAUCAACGAGUAUAUAAGUACACAGCACGUCUCUUCUUUGGCUUACCUCUUGAACCAUACGGCUCAUUACACGUCCAACGAAAACAGGAGAGUAGACGACAAACCAGAAGCAGAUAACGAGACGACCGAGCAGUAGUGGAACCAACCUCCAACAAGAACCAGGACGGUAAACAAGAACAAUCUCGAUUGACUUUUAUAAACAAGAGUGGAUACGAUUACGGAAAGCCAAUUUGAUCUUUAACAAAGUAACAACCUUCGAAAGUAGACGUAUAUACGCAUUCCCCGACACAUAAAUAAAACAAAGUAAGUAAAAAACCAGAUAAAUAAAACGUGUCUUUUGGUAAACACCAUACGAAACUACCCGGAAUAAAUUAUGUCAUGUCUGUUUUAACCUUCAUCAUCGUUUGGUCGGUAUUAAAAAAACUCUCUUGAUACGAUUGGUGUUCGUUACUACAUGAGGACAGUAAAACGGUACUAUAACAUCGGGUGAAGGUUCUGAGAUACAUGAUUACAAUCGAUGAACGAAGAAAUCGACGAGAUUAAUCCUUGGUUAAGAGACACACCAAAUAGGAGUAUUUUAACAAUGAUAAGUGAAUCACCCCCUCACAUUCGUCAUCGACUAAAAUCUCUUGUGAUGUGUGGUCUCGUCCUUCGGCUUCAGUCCUUCCUCUUACGUACAUGGGAACUCCUGACUUCUUACUACAAAUUAGAACGAAAACAGAUGCGACGAUAAGAACCAAGUCUAGGAAUGGAAGCCAAGUCAAGGUACAUCAGAAUACCUAUCUACCUGUUCAACCACUUUUGACUUUUGAUGGCCUACCCAAUUAAUUAGCAACAACGGGGAUUAAAACAAUUUCGAAGUAGUUGUGGAAUGUAAACGAACCAUCUUUAAAUUUGACUUGUGGUUGAAGUAAAUACAAUAUGAGCCCACUACCUAAGGAAGUCUAUAUGUUUAAGGAGCUCGUUUCAAAUGUUACGAAAACACGGUGAAUACUAUACGAAGUGUUAAAAAAACAGAAAGGAACACCUAGCAGGUAAACUUGAUUAUAUAUAGUUACAUUUAUUGGAAUGUAAAGGAAGAGAAAGUUAGCUAAAUUCCAAGAGUAUAUCUUACUAAUGAUUACUGGUCGACGUCGGUGGCGGAUUAGAUUGUAACAACAUGAGUACCGAAAACCGUCGACACAUAAGGUAAAUCAAUGGAAACGGAUUACGCAGGACUACGCUCCGUAAGAACAACGGGACAUGUGUCGAAACGCAACAUACUAACAAUGAUAAAGAGGGACGCAAGAGAGGAAACGUAACAGACUGAUAAUGUACUAAUUAUCUACUUGUGAGGAUAUAGCGUUACUUUCCGUUCCUGUUCGAGGACACUGAUUUAUGGAUCGUUUAGUGGCACGGAUCCUUGAGAGCAGCGUUCGAGAAGUGAAGCGGAAGGUUUUGGUUCCCUUGAUGUAGUAGACGCCGACACGGAUUUCUAGGAUGGGUUUGACGUCUUUGACGAAAACGACCUCUACAACAACUGGGACGUAGGUUUUGUUUACUUUGAUUCGUUCUACGACGACGACGUCGAUGACUUCUACACUUCUUACACGUUAGACUAGUCUGAUUAGCUUGUAUAUUUGGGACGACCCGAUGGACGGGUCGCUCCCGUGAAGGCACGCGACGACGAAGUCCGGCAAACUAUAAAAAUGGCAUGACACAAAAAACUACGACCGUGAGUCAGUUGGCCAGCAAGCAAAACAUGCAACGACCUACUAAAAGAUUAGUGAAGUAAAAAAAAGGUCGACUCUAGACGAACGUCAAAUGAUUUAACAAUGGUCUGAAGUUUACAUGAUGGAUCGUCUGAUCGUUCACAUAUACUACUGAGGAAAAUAGCAACUACUUCCUUAACCCUAAAGAAAUUCCCUUUACUAUUGUUACCACAUACUUUACCAUUCCAUUUACCACAAAAAAAAGGUAACAGUACAAAUUACCAUAUAACCGUACUUCAGUCUCGUCGUGGACUUCUGAUGUGUUCUAUCAAAGACCACUGGAAGUCAGAUAUACAGGAUUGGUUGUCAUCGGUGGAAAACAAAGCAUAGUUAGCUAGGUCGUUCUAUACAUAUCGGAAAUCUAAAGGUAAGCACGUACACUAUGACGUACAUGUGAAUCUAGAGUAAUGACAGAAACACCAGUUUUGUUUCAAACACUAGUGAACAAGAUGUAUACAUUAGUUGGCGGGAAGAUGAUUAUAAAAAUCUUCUGAUAAAUAUAUACAAAUGUGACCAAUCUCUUUUAGUACUGUAACGGCCG